UUACCUUCUUGACUGAUUAGCCGUUUUUGGUUCUCUAGCUAUGGUGGGCAGAAUAGUGGCCCCCAAAGAUGUCUAGUUCCUAAUCUCCAGAAUAUGCUACCUUAAGCAGCCAAAGGGGCUUUGCAGAUAGGAUCAAGGGUACAAGAAUACAAAAAAAAAAAGGAUUAAGGGUGCAGACCCUGAGAUGGGGCAGUUUUCCUGGAUUUUCCAGGUGAUCCAUCCAAUUGCAUGAGCCCUUAAAAGUGGAAGGGGAGAGGCCGGGCGUGGUGGCUCACGCCUGUAAUCCCAGCACUUUGGGAGGCCAAGGCGGGCUGAUCACAAGGUCAAGAGAUCAAGACCAUCCUGGCCAACAUGGUGAAACCUCGUCUCUACUAAAAAUACAAAAAUCAGCUGGGCAUGGUGGCACAUGCCUGUAACCCCAGCUACUCGGGAGGCUGAGGCAGGAGAAUCACUUGAACCCAGGAGGCAAAGGGUGCAGUGAGCCAAGAGCACCACUGCACUCCAGCCUGGCGACAGAGCGAGACUCUGUCUCAAACAAACAAACAAAAAAAGUGGAAGGGGAGGCCGGGGGUGGUGGCUCACGCCUGUAAUCCUAGCACUUUGGGAGGCUGAGCCAGGCAAAUCACGAGGUCAGGAGUUAGAGACCAGCCUGACCAACAUGGUGAAACCCUGUCUCUACUAAAAAUACAAAAAAAUUAGCCAGGUGUGGUGGCGCAUGCCUGUAAUCCUAGCUAUUCGGGAGGCUGAGGCAGGAGAAUGGGUUGAAUCUAGGAGGCAGAGGUUGCAGUGAGCCAAGAUCGCGCCACUGUACUCUAGCCUGGGUGACAGAGCGAGACUCCGUCUCAAAAAAAAAAAAAAAACCCAAAGGUGCCUUCUUUCUUUUGACUGUCUUUGCAAGGGGUCUGGAUUUGAGAGUGCUGAAUCUUUGUGCACCCUCUUUGGAGUGUGUCUUUCUCUCUCUCUCUCUCUCUUUUUUAAGAGACAGAGUCUCACCCAGACUGAUCAGGAACUCCUGGCCUCAGGUGGUCCUCCCACCUUGACUUCCCAGAGUGCUGAGAUUACAGGCAUGAGCCAUUGUGCCCAGCCUUGAGGAUGUCUCUUUUGUCCAUGGUUAAGUCAUAAAAUGCUUAUUGGUCUUGGUUCUGAGUUGCUUGGUAGGUACCUUUGGUUUACAAGAAGAAAAGUGGUGGGUGGGCAGGGUGGUAGUAGGGAAGAGUGUUCAGUACUGCCAGGAAUAUGUACUAUCUGUUCUGGCUGAAAACUGACAAUGAGAUAUUUGAAAGGAUUUUUUUUUUUUUUACAGCUCUAUGAUCAGAAGAUGGCAUAAGUGGGGCUGGGCACAGUGGCUCAGUGCCCAGCUGGGAUUACGCCUGUAAUACCAGCACUUUGGGAGGCCAAGGUGAGUGGAUCACGAGGUCAGGAGUUGAAGACCAGCCUGGCCAACAUGGAGAAACCCCGUCUCUACUAAAAAUACAAAAAAUUAGCCGGGCGCGGUGGCAGGUGCCUGUAAUCCCAGCUACUCGGGAGGCUGAGGCAGGAGAAUAGCUUGAACUCAGAGGGCGGAGGUUGCAGUGAGCCAAGGUUGCGCCACUGCACUCCAGCCUGGGCGACAGAGUGAGACUCCGUCUCUAAAAAACAAAAAAGAAGAUGGCGUAAUCAGAAGUUGAUAUUCUGUCUAUUGGAUCCUGCUUCUCCCCUGGGGUCUUCUUGGUUCCCUGAAGCCCCUCUUCCGGAGUCCCUGCCCUCUAUCGGCUCUGCCUCCUGCUUCUUUUCUGUAUUGCCAUGAUUUUUGCUAAGGAUAAAGGACAACUUCAUUGGCUUCUUUGGGAAACUUGCAAUCUCCCCAAACAGGCCCCUCUGAGAUUUCUCCUUUCCAUUUGCUUCUGCUCCCCCUUCCUCCUUUUGCCACCUUCGAUAUUUUCUCCAGUUUCCUUGAUUCCUUUGAUACGUCCCCAUUCAGGCCACUCUGGCCCUCCAUCCAACCUGCCAGAACUUUUUCCACUUCAGCACUUCAGUCACUUAAACAUUAGGGCUCCCUGCCCUAAAGGGACUCAAAAUCCUGCAAAAACAACCACCUAAGGAUAAAAAGAGAAAAAAUGAAACUGUUUGGAAACUGGGCAAAUGAAUACUCUUUUAAAAGUCUUUUUCUGGGGGCCAGGUGUGGUGGCUCACGCCUGUAAUCCCAGCACUUUGGGAGGCCGAGGCGGGCAGAUCACAAGGUCAGGAGUUCAAGACCAGCCUGGCCAAUAUGGUGAAACCCCGUCUCUCCUAAUGAUACAAAAAAAAUUAGCCAGGUGUGGUGGCAUUCGCCUGUAGUCCCAGCUACUUGGGAGGCUGAGGAAGGAGAAUCGCUUGAACCCGGGAGGCGGAGGUUGCAGUGAGCCAAGAUUGCACCACUGCACCAGCCUGGCGACAGAGCAAGAAGACUCCAUCUCGAAAAAUAUAUAUGUAUGUAUAUAUACGUAUUUACGUGUAUAUAUGUAUGCAUACAUAUAUAUAUAUAUAGAGAGAGAGAGAAACCAGUGAGUUUGUAUUACUGUGUUUUACUGACUCACGACUACCAUUUUGGAAUGAAAGCUAUAAGAUCUUUGUGUUUUUACGUUUAUGUGUUUAUAUUUGUGUAUAUCUAUGUAUGUAUGUUUGAAUAUUAUAUAUAAUAUUUUUUCUAUCUCCAUAUUCAGUAUUACUAACUGAAUUUUUUUUUUUUUUUGAGAUGGAGUCUCACUCUGUCACCAGGCUGGAGUGCAGUGG
rnacentral:lncRNA from 1 species